rnacentral:rRNA from 1 species
CCUACGGGAGGCAGCAGUGGGGAAUAUUGGACAAUGGGCGCAAGCCUGAUCCAGCCAUGCCGCGUGUGUGAAGAAGGCCUUCGGGUUGUAAAGCACUUUUGUUGGGGAAGAAAAGCAUUCGGUUAAUACCCGGAUGUCCUGACGGUACCCAAAGAAUAAGCACCGGCUAACUUCGUGCCAGCAGCCGCGGUAAUACGAAGGGUGCAAGCGUUACUCGGAAUUACUGGGCGUAAAGCAUGCGUAGGUGGUCUGUUAAGUCUGAUGUGAAAGCCCCGGGCUCAACCUGGGAAUGGCAUUGGAUACUGGCAGUCUAGAGUGCGGUAGAGGGGUGUGGAAUUCCCGGUGUAGCAGUGAAAUGCGUAGAUAUCGGGAGGAACAUCCGUGGCGAAGGCGACACCCUGGACCAGCACUGACACUGAGGCACGAAAGCGUGGGGAGCAAACAGGAUUAGAUACCCUGGUAGUCCACGCCCUAAACGAUGCGAACUGGAUGUUGGGGACACUUAGGUCCUCAGUAUCGGAGCUAACGCGUUAAGUUCGCCGCC